UGAAUUUACUCUAACUCAUGCAACUGCUCGAACCCCGAGAUUCUCAGACUACUUAUAAAUUUCUCCGCUUUGCUGUCUCUUUUUAACUCCCUCUUUUUGAGUGAAUGCUCGUUUCUCCAUGUCUCCUACAUUUUCAGUCCUCAGUGUGACUAUCUCGAUGGUGAUCUAGCCGGAAUUUGGCUCUCUUUGAUCAGGCUCACCUGAAUAUUGCUGUUUAUUAGUAGCCAGAAAUUGUUAAAAAAAGUUGUUUUCAGUCAGUGCAGUGGCGAGUGACCUCACAUAUCCAUUAUUGCUGAGCCUGUUAGCUAGUCAACAAUGAAGAGAAA
rnacentral:misc_RNA from 1 species